rnacentral:rRNA from 1 species
UAAGGAAUAUUGCACAAUGGGCGAAAGCCUGAUGCAGCAACGCCGCGUGCGCGAUGAAGGCCUUCGGGUCGUAAAGCGCUUUUCUGGGGGAAGAGUAAGGACGGUACCUCAGGAAUAAGUCUCGGCUAACUACGUGCCAGCAGCCGCGGUAACACGUAGGAGACAAGCGUUAUCCGGAUUUAUUGGGCGUAAAGGGCAUGUAGGCGGGCUCUUAAGUCGGAUGUGAAAUCUCUUGGCUUAACCGGGAGGGGUCAUUCGAUACUGGGAGUCUUGAGGGCAGGAGAGGGAAGUAGAAUUCCCGGUGUAGUGGUGGAAUACGUAGAUAUCGGGAGGAAUACCAGUGGCGAAAGCGGCUUCCUGGCCUGUGCCUGACGCUGAUAUGCGAAAGCGUGGGUAGCAAACGG